UACGUAGGUGGCAAGCGUUGUCCGGAAUUAUUGGGCGUAAAGCGCGCGCAGGCGGUCCUUUAAGUCUGAUGUGAAAGCCCACGGCUCAACCGUGGAAGGUCAUUGGAAACUGGGGGACUUGAGUGCAGAAGAGGAAAGUGGAAUUCCAAGUGUAGCGGUGAAAUGCGUAGAGAUUGGAAAGAACACCGAUGGCGAAGGCACUUUACUGGGCUAUUACUAACACUCAGAGACGAAAGCUAGGGUAGCAAAUGGG
rnacentral:rRNA from 1 species